UACAGAGGAUGCAAGCGUUAUCCGGAAUGAUUGGGCGUAAAGCGUCUGUAGGUGGCUUUUUAAGUCCGCCGUCAAAUCCCAGGGCUCAACUCUGGACAGGCGGUGGAAACUACCAAGCUGGAGUACGGUAGGGGCAGAGGGAAUUUCCGGUGGAGCGGUGAAAUGCGUAGAUAUCUGGAGGAACACCGGUGGCGAAGGCGGCAUCCUGGACCAACACUGACGCUGAGGAGCGAAAGCCAGGGGAGCAAACGGG
rnacentral:rRNA from 1 species